rnacentral:rRNA from 1 species
UACGAAGGGGGCUAGCGUUGCUCGGAAUGACUGGGCGUAAAGGGUGCGUAGGCGGUCGGGUAAGUCUGAUGUGAAAUCUCACAGCUUAACUGUGAAACUGCAUUGGAUACUAUCCGGCUCGAGGAAUGGAGGGGAGACUGGAAUACUUGGUGUAGCAGUGAAAUGCGUAGAUAUCAAGUGGAACACCAGUGGCGAAGGCGAGUCUCUGGACAUUUCCUGACGCUGAGGCACGAAAGCCAGGGGAGCAAACGGG